rnacentral:rRNA from 1 species
UACGAAGGGGGCUAGCGUUGUUCGGAAUUACUGGGCGUAAAGCGCGCGCAGGCGGUCUUCCAAGUCAGUGGUGAAAGCCUGGAGCUCAACUCCAGAACUGCCAUUGAAACUGUUAGACUUGAGUACGAGAGAGGUGAGUGGAAUUCCCAGUGUAGAGGUGAAAUUCGUAGAUAUUGGGAAGAACACCAAUGGCGAAGGCGGCUCACUGGCUCGUAACUGACGCUCAGGCGCGACAGCGUGGGGAUCAAACAGG